rnacentral:lncRNA from 1 species
AGCAUAUUUUUUCUAUAUCAUACGUGCAUGACCUUAUGGCUUAAUAACUCCACAAAAGUUCCGUUCAAACUCCUCUCUAUUUCUAUGUCCCCACCUUGCCUUCCCUAUUAAUGUUUUCUACACUAUGGCUACUUAGUAUAUUUUUCUAAUAUCAUGCAUACAUGAUCUGGUGGCUAUAUAAGUCCUCAAAAGUUUCAUUUGAACUCCUCUUUUCUAUGUUCCGACCCUGCCUUGCCCAUUUAUAUUUUCUACACUAUGGCUUGUAGAAAAUUCUACUAACAUAAGAAAGAAGAGAAAGUGAAAUAUUAGAUUUGUCACAGUUCUUAAGAGGAAAAUCCCUCUUGGAAAAAAAGACUCAACCUUUAUCCUUGCUUCGUUGGUUCUUUAUGUGGGAGUCAUACAUUUUGGGGCUCUUCCUUAUAGGUUUCCUACUUUUGAUAUGCAUCUUUCUAUCUCCUAGUUAUAGGGAUGCAAAUGGACCAAUCCUUGGGCCAACAUUUACUUUGCUUGUGUUGGCAUUUAGUGCGAACCCUAUGCAAUUUUUUUCAAAUCCCUAGGCCAAGAUAGGCCUACUCAUAGCCCCUCAAGGUGGUGCCUUUUAUAGUUUUAGUGAGUUUGACAUGAGUAUGAGGGUGUUUAUAAUUU